rnacentral:rRNA from 1 species
AUUGAACGCUGGCGGCAGGCCUAACACAUGCAAGUUGAGCGGAUGAGUGGAGCUUGCUCCAUGAUUCAGCGGCGGACGGGUGAGUAAUGCCUAGGAAUCUGCCUGGUAGUGGGGGACAACGUUUCGAAAGGAACGCUAAUACCGCAUACGUCCUACGGGAGAAAGUGGGGGAUCUUCGGACCUCACACUAUCAGAUGAGCCUAGGACGGAUUAGCUAGUUGGUGAGGUAAAGGCUCACCAAGGCGACGAUCCGUAACUGGUCUGAGAGGAUGAUCAGUCAAACUGGAACUGAGACACGGUCCAGACUCCUACGGGAGGCAGCAGUGGGGAAUAUUGGACAAUGGGCGAAAGCCUGAUCCAGCCAUGCCGCGUGUGUGAAGAAGGUCUUCGGAUUGUAAAGCACUUUAAUUUGGGAUGAAGGGCAGUAAGUUAAUACCUUGCUGUUUUGACGUUACCAACAGAAUAAGCACCGGCUAACUUCGUGCCAGCAGCCGCGGUAAAAC